GAUGAACGCUGGCGGCGUGCUUAACACAUGCAAGUCGAACGAAGCGCUUAGGAUUGAUUCUUCGGAUGAUUUCUUUUGUGACUUAGUGGCGGACGGGUGAGUAACGCGUGGGUAACCUGCCUCACACAGGGGGAUAACAGUUAGAAAUGACUGCUAAUACCGCAUAACCCGAUAGGAUCGCAUGAUCCAGACGGAAAAGAUUUAUCGGUGUGAGAUGGACCCGCGUCUGAUUAGCUAGUUGGUGAGGUAACGGCCCACCAAGGCGACGAUCAGUAGCCAGCCUGAGAGGGUGAACGGCCACAUUGGGACUGAGACACGGCCCAAACUCCUACGGGAGGCAGCAGUGGGGAAUAUUGCAUAAUGGGGGAAACCCUGAUGCAGCGACGCCGCGUGAGUGAAGAAGUAUUUCGGUAUGUAAAGCUCUAUCAGCAGGGAAGAAAAUGACGGUACCUGACUAAGAAGCCCCGGCUAACUACGUGCCAGCCGCCGCGGUAA
rnacentral:rRNA from 1 species